CCAAACUAUGCCAUUGGUCACGUGGCACCAGCUGCGGCGAAUGAGCUACUGCCACCGACGCGCUCUGCCUCUCCGCAGUCGAUGAUCGUCCACGCCCUCGCCUGAGCUGGCGCCGCCGGAAUCGCCGCUUUCCGCCAUCGCUCCUGCUCUCAUCCCGUGUCGAGGGCUUUGAUCUUUCUUAUUCGGUGUUUUGAGAGAAAGUGUGGCCGAGUUAGGCGGGGGAGGUGCCAGAUUUGCUUGUCCGGCAGCCUAGAAUGGAUUUAGCUUGUGGCGUUCGGAUGUCGUCGACGGCGCACGAUUGUGGCAUCGGUUUGGGUUAUUGGAAGUUCGCUUACAGAGGUCGGAGUCGCUAUUUAGUUCGCGACUCUGUGGUUCAUUUUGCGAUUGAUUCGCCGGGGAGGAAACGUUGCGAGCUUCGUUGCGUUCGAGGGGGAGCGUAUGGGAGAGAUUUCGCGGACUCGCAAAAGAGGAGAGUUUCUGGAAGCGAUCUCUUUAACCAUAGGAAACUUUUGAAGCGGCCCAUGCUAUUGAAUAAUCACUCCAACGAUUCCAUCGCAUAUAUUGGUGUUAGCUGAGAGGAUACUGAUUUGAUUGGAGGUGAAUUAGUAGAUGAACACGAGUCUCCUAUGGAGGAAUCAGAAGUAGAGCAUGUUUAUGAUUCUAAGUCGAUUAGUCCGCUGGUAGAGGAAAAGGACGCCUGUCAGCUGGAUGAGCUGAGGGAGUUGCUUCAUGUCAGCUCCUCCAUGUUAGACAUAUAGGCUUUCUUUAUAAGUAGUCGAGCAGAAAGGACCUCACAACUGCUUCAGCAGCCAGAUAUAAUCACCAUCGAGGAAGUUGCCUCAUCUUCCAAGUCUAUGAUGCAGGCAAUAAGGAAGAUCCCUAAAACAUUAAAGAAGCUUAUUCAACUCUUAUCUCAG